rnacentral:rRNA from 1 species
CCUACGGGUGGCAGCAGUGAGGAAUAUUGGUCAAUGGACGAGAGACUGAACCAGCCAAGUCGCGUGAAGGAUGACUGCCCUAUGGGUUGUAAACUUCUUUUAUAUGGGAAUAAAAUGUUCCACGUGUGGGAUUUUGUAUGUACCUUAUGAAUAAGGAUCGGCUAACUCCGUGCCAGCAGCCGCGGUAAUACGGAGGAUCCGAGCGUUAUCCGGAUUUAUUGGGUUUAAAGGGAGCGUAGAUGGGUUGUUAAGAUAGUUGUGAAAGUUUGGGGCUCAACCGUAAAAAUGCGAGUGAUACUGGCAGCCUUGAGUACAAGUGAGGUAGGCGGAAUGCGUGGUGUAGCGGUGAAAUGCAUAGAUAUCACGAAGAACUCCGAUUGCGAAGGCAGCAUACU